rnacentral:rRNA from 1 species
AUUGAACGCUAGCGGCAUGCCUUACACAUGCAAGUCGAACGGUAACAGGUCUUCGGAUGCUGACGAGUGGCGAACGGGCGAGUAAUACAUCGGAACGCGCCCGAUCGUGGGGGAUAACGAAGCGAAAGCUUUGCUGAUACCGCAUAAGAUCUAAGGAUGAAAGCAGGGGACCGCAAGGCCUUGCGCGAACGGAGCGGCCGAUGGCAGAUUAGGUAGUUGGUGGGAUAAAAGCUUACCAAGCCGACGAUCUGUAGCUGGUCUGAGAGGACGACCAGCCAAACUGGGACUGGGACACGGCCCAGACUCCUACGGGAGGCAGCAGUGGGGAAUUUUGGACAAUGGGCGAAAGCCUGAUCCAGCCAUGCCGCGUGCAGGAUGAAGGCCUUCGGGUUGUAAACUGCUUUUGUACGGAACGAAAAGACUCUGGUUAAUACCUGGGGUCCAUGACGGUACCGUAAGAAUAAGCACCGGCUAACUACGUGCCAGCCGCCGCCGCAG